GCCGGGGUGGCGAAACUGGCAGACGCACAGGACUUAAAAUCCUGCGGUGAGUGAUCACCGUACCGGUUCGAUUCCGGUCCUCGGCACCA
rnacentral:tRNA from 1 species